rnacentral:rRNA from 1 species
AACGUAGGAGACGAACGUUAUCCGGAGUUACUGGGCGUAAAGGGCGCGUAGGCGGCCGAUCAAGUCGGGGGUGAAAGCCUGUGGCUCAACCACAGAAUUGCCUUCGAUACUGUUUGGCUUGAGACCGGAAGAGGUUAGUGGAACUGCGAGUGUAGAGGUGAAAUUCGUAGAUAUUCGGAAGAACACCAGUGGCGAAGGCGACAUACUGGGUCAUGACUGACGCUGAGGCUCGAAAGCGUGGGGAGCAAACAGG